rnacentral:lncRNA from 1 species
GUCGGCCACGGUAAGGACAUCCUCUCCGUCGCCUUCUCCGUCGACAACCGCCAGAUCAUCUCCGCGUCCCGCGACAAGACCAUCAAGCUCUGGAACACCCUCGGUGAGUGCAAGUACACCAUCGGCGGCGACCUCGGUGGUGGCGAGGGCCACAACGGGUGGGUCUCCUGCGUCAGGUUCUCCCCCAACACCUUCCAGCCCACCAUCGUUUCCGGAUCCUGGGAUCGCACCG